GCAGACGGAAGCGCUAAUAAGCUGGCCGAUGAAAACGAAGUCUACCAAGCGCGUGCUCUCAAUCGAACCGUUGAACGCUGUCAGAUCCCGGAGAUUUCAGGUUGAUCAAGCAGCCAGACCUCUAGCAUAGGGAAACCUCGAGCGCACAUUCAACAUGACGUCGGAAAUGUCCAUGAUGUCCACGACGGAACCAGAGACCUUUUCAGUCAUGCAGUCAGGGACCAUGGGGUCAGAGUGUAAGUACACAACCAUCCCGUACAUUGUUUUUUUUUUUCUUGACAGUCUUCCUAGAUGUCUGAGCGACGGAAGAUCGCUUGCCGUUAGUAUUAGUUUUUUUUAAAUAAUAAGACAAACAGAAGUUGAUGGCGCUGUCAGGAUUGGGGGCUCAAUCCCUACGCCCGU